rnacentral:rRNA from 1 species
GACGAGGGGUCCUAGCGUUGUUCGGAAUCAUUGGGCGUAAAGCGUGUGUAGGUGGCUAUUCAAGUCAGCUGUGAAAGCCCCGGGCUCAACCUGGGAAUUGCAUUUGAGACUGCGUAGCUAGGGUGCGGAAGAGGGAAGCGGAAUUUCCGGUGUAGCGGUGAAAUGCGUAGAUAUCGGAAGGAACACCAGUGGCGAAAGCGGCUUCCUGGUCCAGCACCGACGUUCAGGCACGAAAGCGUGGGGAGCAAACAGG